AGUAUUGAAAUGAUUUUCUUUUGCACAAAAAAAAAGCAGAGAACUCUACUGAAAUGUGAAGAAGUGUAUUCAAAUUCUUUACAUGACCCAACACAGUGGCUCAUGCCUAUAAUCCCAGCACUUUGGGAGGCCGAGGCAGGCAGAUAACCUGAGGUCAGGAGUUGGAGACCAGUCUGGCCAACAUAGUGAAAUCCCAUCUCUACUAAAAAUACAAAAAUUAGUCAGGUGUGGUGGCAGGUAUCUGUAAUCCCAGCCACUCAGGAGGCUGAGGCAGGAGAAUCAAUUGAACCUGGGAGGUGGAGUUUGCAGUGAGCUGAGAUCACACCACUGCACUACAGCCUGGGCAACAGAGGGAGACUCUGUCUCAAAAAAACAAAAACAGAAACAAAUUAUUUACAUGUGUGAGCAAAUAUAUAUAUCCAUAUAUAUCUCCAAUUCUUUGUCUAAGGAGUUGACUAAAAUUCAAUAAAAGGGAAAUUCUUUCCUUUCUAACUUUUGCCCUUUCCCAUAGCAUGAACAUUUUAAUUUGGAUCAGUCAGGGAAGUUAAAACUAUAAAAAUCAAUACUGUGUUCACUUUCCACAUGGAUUCCUCUAAAAUUUUUUUACGUGUGACUAAAAUACACAUAACAUAAAAUUAGUAUUGUAACCAUUUUUAAGUAUACAGUUCAGUAGUGUUAAGUAUAUUCACGUUGUUAUGCAACAGAUCUCUGGAACCUUUUCAUCUCACAAAACUGAAACUCUACACCCAUCAGACAACAGCUCACCCCUUCCCUCUCCCCGCUGCCCCUGGCAACCAUCAUUCUAUUUUCUGUCUCUAUGAAUUUGACUGCUUUAGAUACUUCAUAUAAGUGGUCAUUUUUUAAAUUAAACAUUAAACAGAAUCUCUAGCAGUGCAGAAAAUUGUUAUGUAUUGACCAUUCGCCACUGUGUACACACACAGAGUGCUUUGGCCAAUUUUUUUUUUUUACCAACUUCUCAUUUGCUAAUGACUUAAGAGUACUAACUUUCCCUGAAGGAAAACUACUCAAUUUUAGUCAAAUAUUUGACAAGCAAUUAAAAGUUGUAUGACAGAGGCCUAUCUGCUUCCAUCAAUGAAGGGAAGGUUACUUUAAGAAGCACCUGCUAUGGUUUCAGGUUUCUGGUUGACAAGUCUUGGCUGGAGUGGGCCUCCCCCUCUAUGGGGUGAAUGUGGGAGGAGAUUGUCCAGUGUGAAAAGGCCAUGACACUCACUCAUGGUUAGAUCUCGCUUCACUGUCUAAGAUUUCUUUAGGAUUCUUGCAAGAAACAAGUCAGCAGGUUAAAAGCAACUUGAAUAUCACGAAGGCAAGAUCACAGCGACGUCCUGUCCUGGUUCCCCUCUUCUACCCUGGCCCACACGGCACCAUCUUUCCCAUUGCUGCCCUCCCAGUGGCCCUCCCCUCUCACAAGGUGCUGCCCCGCUCCCCACUUGCCCAGCCUUCCCUCCUGCUUCAUCAUGCUACCCCAUUUCAUAGAUCUGUGUCCCCAGGCCACAGAUGCCUUUAGCAAAACAUUUUCUCCACCCUUAUUCCUUUUUUUCGUGACGUGACAGGUAUGUAAGAUGGUGACGGGGCAUUAAAAUGUCUUUGCAAAGUGUCCUUUUCCCUCUCCACUCUUGCUCUUCCUUUUUGCUCCUGCCCUGGCCUGGCCUGGGCUGGUUUCCAGGGAUCUCUGCUUACCAGCAAGCCAGUCACCUACGUGUUAUCCACAUCUACCAAAGGCCUGGUAACAGCAGCCCAGGCCCAGAAAAGUAUAAAAAAAAAAAAAAA
ensembl:lncRNA